rnacentral:rRNA from 1 species
AUUGAACGCUGGCGGCAUGCCUUACACAUGCAAGUCGAACGGCAGCACGGGUGCUUGCACCUGGUGGCGAGUGGCGAACGGGUGAGUAAUAUAUCGGAACGUACCUUAUUGUGGGGGAUAACGCAGCGAAAGCUGUGCUAAUACCGCAUAAUCCCUAAGGGGGAAAGCGGGGGACCGUAAGGCCUCGCGCAAUUAGAGCGGCCGAUACCUGAUUAGCUAGUUGGUGAGGUAAAGGCUCACCAAGGCAACGAUAAGUAGCUGGUCUGAGAGGACGAUCAGCCACACUGGGACUGAGACACGGUGCAGAGUCCUACGGGAGGCAGCAGUGGGGAAUUUUGGACAAUGGGGGCAACCCUGAUCCAGCAAUGCCGCGUGAGUGAAGAAGGCCUUCGGGUUGUAAAGCUCUUUUGUCAGGGAAGAAACAGCAGCUCUAACACAGUUUGCGAAUGACGGUACCUGAAGAAUAGGCACCGGCUAACUACGUGCCAGCCGCCGCGGUAA